CCUCGGGGAAGGUGGAAAUGGGCGGGGACGACGUCAAGUCAUCAUGGCCCUUACGACCAGGGCUACACACGUGCUACAAUGGUCGGUACAAAGGGUUGCACCCAGCGAUGAGGAGCUAAUCUCAAGAAAGCCGAUCGUAGUUCCGGAUUGGAGUCUGCAACUCGACUCCAUGAAGUCGGAAUCGCUAGUAAUCGCGGAUCAGAAUGCCGCGGUGAAUACGUUCCCGGGCCUUGUACACACCGCCCGUCACACCAUGGGAGUUUGUUGCACCAGAAGUAGGUAGUCUAACCGUCAGGAGACGCGUCCACGUGUGCCGAG
rnacentral:rRNA from 1 species